rnacentral:rRNA from 1 species
AGUGAACGCUGGCGGUAGGCCUAACACAUGCAAGUCGAACGGCAGCACAGUAAGAGCUUGCUCUUACGGGUGGCGAGUGGCGGACGGGUGAGGAAUACAUCGGAAUCUACUUUUUCGUGGGGGAUAACGUAGGGAAACUUACGCUAAUACCGCAUACGACCUACGGGUGAAAGCAGGGGAUCUUCGGACCUUGCGCGAUUGAAUGAGCCGAUGUCGGAUUAGCUAGUUGGCGGGGUAAAGGCCCACCAAGGCGACGAUCCGUAGCUGGUCUGAGAGGAUGAUCAGCCACACUGGAACUGAGACACGGUCCAGACUCCUACGGGAGGCAGCAGUAGGGAAUAUUGGACAAUGGGCGCAAGCCUGAUCCAGCCAUACCGCGUGGGUGAAGAAGGCCUGCGGGUUGUAAAGCCCUUUUGUUGGGAAAGAAAAGCAGCAGGUUAAUACCCCGCUGUUCUGACGGUACCCAAAGAAUAAGCACCGGCUAACUUCGU